GGAUAAGGCCCAGAAGCUGGAUGGCAAAGAGAAGAUAGGAAGAGAUUCUGAAACCUUUGUGAUAUCACUGCGUGGCCUAAUUAGCAAAUCCUGAAGUCACUACACCUGAAGACUUCUUUUACAGAAGUGAACACAUCUUUCUUUUAAUCGAAGGCAGUUUGAGGUAGGUAAUUUUCAUGACUUACAGUCAAACGCAUCCUAGCUGAUGGAGUUGGUACAUUCUCUGCUUCUUGAGAAGAUUGGCACUUAGAAAGAUCCUAGGUUUGGGAGGGCCUUAAUUCUCUGCACAACUGUCUGGGUGUUUCACGGGCCAUCUCUUCCUAUCAGCUGGGUGGGCCCUGGGAAGCAUGGACUAUAUCCAACACCCAGCACAACGCAUGGCACAAGGCCAGGAUCUGGGAUGAACACCACAGACAUGGAGCCUACCUAGGGGAAGCCUGGCCAUCUGGGUGGGGAAACAAGACACAGGCAUGAUGGGAAAGCCGAAUGCAAGGCAGCAGAGUAAGUUCUGCUCGUGAGACCCUGUAUCAUGAGUUUUUAGCAGAGCCCCGUUCAUAAAUAUGGCAUGAAAUGAAUAUAUUAUUGAAAUGAAGACAAGGGAACACAUGGAAGGAGCACCCACGGUGUUCCAGAAGGCAAAGCAUGUGGUGCCAGCCUCUCAGAGCAGCCGGUAGAAGAGAAGGACCCCCUCCAUACAGGCAAAGUUGCUGAGAGUUUGGGAGGUUUGUUUCCUCUGCACACGGGAUCAUUGGAAGAGCCGGGAUUUGAACACUGGCUUUUCUUGACUCCCAACUUCGUGUUCUUUCUGCCAUUGCAAGCCAUGAAUACAGUAUCCUCUGAAGAUUUCAGACCAUCAGAAGAUGGCGCCUGGCUGUGGUGGAUUUUAGGAUCAGACCUUAGGGGCUCUUGAGUACUAGAAUAACAUGUUCAGUCUUGAGUUUCUGAGCAGGGCAAAUGACAAGUUAGGAGCUGUACUUGAGAAAAGAGAAGCACUGACUGAGGACAACAAUCACAGAAAGAAUAUACCAUCAGCUACCGGUGUUGUGUUCACCCAAGUCCUGCUGUUAUCAAGCUCACGUCAGAGGUGAGGAAAGGGAGGAUAAGAAAGGUCAAGCCAUCUGUUCAAAGUCCCAGGGCUGGUAAGAGGAGUUUGAACUCACAGCCCAUGAUCCUAACCACUUCCUCACCCAUCAGAAUGAGGAGAGAAGAAGAGAAAGGGCUGUGGAAAAGGAGAGGCUGGUGGUCUAUGGAAAAGACCUGUUGAGAAAUAUCAGGAGGCUUAUGCCUCCACAAGCUCUGGUCCAGCCCAGUGUCAGUGUCCCAUGACAGACUACGCCUUUUCUACUGUAACCCCUCUUAUAAUGUCUCCUCUUUCCUGAAAGCUGACCCACCUAUCCCAAAGGCCACUCUUUUCCCUGACCUCCUACUGCUCUUGGCGCCUCUGACCCCCAACCUGGCAUUUGAAGCCCAGAUCAGAAUCUGGACCUGUUACCUCUUAGCUGCACAACGUGGGCUAGUCUUUGCCUCAGUUUCAUCGUCUGUCAUAAAGAUGCCAUAAGACCUCCUGGAGUUCAGUAAUUAAAGGCAAUUAAGGAUAUGCUCUAAAAGAAAGAGUGAUGUUCUCAUGUGACAACCAAAAUAUCCCAUUUUUGCCACAUUGCCUCACUACAUUAUGAGAUUAUGAAUGAAGGUUUUUGUCUGUCCCUCUGCGGCACAUCACAGAGCUGACCAGUCACGCAAAGGCCUUUACUCUUGGUAUCUUGCUAGGGAGAGGCCCUGGGAACCAGAGAAGCCGGCCACAGCUAAGAGGCCAGGCUGCCAGUCCUUUCCUGAAUCUGGUGGGCCUCUGGCUUCCGAGGCAGCUGCAGUCAUGCACAAUUCACCUCCUUCCCGUGGAACCCAUUUCAGGAUUAGCUGCCAGGAGGUCAUAAAAUGCAAAGAGGAAGUGGGAGCAUCCCACAAUUGUAGGAACCUGGCUCCAAGGGAAGUAACCUGUCUGUUGGUCUGUCUGCCUCUGGGGAAGUGGGCCAUAAAUCGCAGUCUUAAGGGCUGGUGAAAGGCCAGAGCUAUUUAUAAAAAGUCUGGGCUUUUGAACUCUUUAAAGAGGCAAUAGCCUUCUCUCAGAUAAUUGAGGUUUGGUAUCAAGGGCUCAAAUGCUUCAGCAAACAAAGCUGUCAGUGCCCAGCUGGGAGAAUGAGGAGGAGAGUGUUUGCCUGGAAGCACAGGAGCAUCUCCACCCCCCCCCCCCACACACACACCCUGGUCCCACUAUUCUCUCUUGCAUCCCUGACCUGGGCUGAUCACCAAGCAUGCACAGAUGAACUCAUGCAGGAGGAUGGUCCACUUCCUUACAAGAGCGGGAGGCAGCUGAAAGUAAAACUGCUUACCCAGGUUUGCACACAAGGCUGUGUGACUACACUUGCUGUUUCUUCCACCUUGAAUACUCUCCCCUCUAGUCCUUUCUUGAAUGUCACCUCCUCCAAGAGCCCUUCCUUGCCUACACUGGCUUCUUGCAACACCUCAGUUGGUUUUAUUUUCUUCAAAGAACUUUCAACCAUCUGAGAGCUGGGCUUCAUAGAUGUGUGUCCCCACCAGACCCUUAGCACCAGCACCCUGAAUGGCAGGUGGAACGAAAUGCCAUUAAAUGCUCCCUAAAAAUCUCCCUAAAAAUCUGUUGCAUGAGUAUAUAAAUUACCAUACGAUCCACACAGAGGAGGGGACCAUGACCCUGUGUGGGGAGUGUAGAUUGGACUGGGAAACACUUCAGAGAGGUGGUGACAGCUAAUGGGACCCUGCAGGAGGAGCAGCCUCCCAAGUGCAGGCCAGGUAGGGACUGCAUGCUAUGUUUCAGGGAGCAGGAACAAUGCAGUGUGGCCAGAGUACAGGGCACAGGA